AAGAAAACAUUUUUUUCUUUAUAGUUUCUCUAUUGAAGUUGAACCAUGGUAAAAGAAUUAUGUCCUAUAUCAAUAUAGCAAUAACUUUCAUUACUAUGUUACUAUAGUAUUCUUUUCAACUCCUUUAAAACUCCAUCGAUUUGUUCCUAGUAGGUAAUAUAGCAUAUCAUUUCUCCAUAAGGAAAGCCACACACUCUGAAUUUGGUUCACUUAAUAUUGGCAGUGGGGAGCUAGCUGCUUUAUGAAACUGAGCAAAGCAUUUCUUAGUCAUUUUGCAAAUACAUGUUGUAAUCAUGAUUAAAAUAGGCAUCAUUAAAUAGGAAAUCAUUUUGACUGAUUUUUAACUUGUUUAUAUAAAUCUAGAAAACCUGCCUUGCAUUAGUGAUUUUUAAUUCUAAUUUAAAAAUAACAAAAAUUAGUCUUAUUAUCACAGCCACUAAGAAGCAAACAUCAUCUUCUAUUAAGACAUAAACUACUGGCAGUUGCAUUUUUAUAUGUUCUUUAUCCUAAUUCUCAACAGCAUUGAACAUUAGCUUUGUGAUAUAAUUGACUUUCAGUGCUUCUGGGCAGGCAAGCUCUGUGUUUGUUUGUUUUUAAGAUUUUAUUUAUUUAUUCAUGAGACACACAAAAAGAGAGGCAGAGACAGAGGCAGAGGAGAAGAAGGCUCCCUAUGGGGAGCCCAGUGUGGGACUCCAGGUCAUGCCCUGAGCUGAAGGCAGCCAUUCCACCAGUGAGCCACCCAGGUGCCCCAGGCAAGCUCUGAUCUGAGCUUCUGAAAGUGCUCAAUUUACAGAUCACUAGGAAAGUAUUGUGGUCUUGCUCCUCUCUCCUGGACACAAGCCACAGUGGCUCCCUUCCUCUGUAGUUACUGCUAUGGAGAAUGGCUUCCGGGGGAACACUGAAGUAAAGAGACUGGCUUCAGAGGCGCAGGGAGAAAUCUUCUAAAUGCUACACACUACCACUCACCUGAAGCAAUGGUGAAGCAAUCAUAUACCUGUAGUCCCAGCCAUGUGAUCACUUCACUUAGUAUUUGCAGUACUUUCAGAAGGAAUGUUCUACCAUCAGUGGAAAUGUUUGCAGUCUCCUCUUUGAAGGCACUAUUUUUGUGUGCAUGGGUUGUCUUCAUCUUCUUUCAACAAUUUCACACGCAGAAGCAUCACCCAUUCUAUCCUUCGUCCUGAUGCAAGAACUUCUCAAAAUGAGUCUCCAGAUGACCAUCUUCAAAGAUGAAAUCAAUCAACAUGAUAAUUUAUAGGAUUCCUUCCGUUUUAAGAAAAUUCUAGAUCUGCUUUCUCUCUAAACCUAGUAUGAAUAGGUUUUUAUUGCAUUUCACAUAUUUCAUAUAGUCAGCUCGAAUCUGU
rnacentral:lncRNA from 1 species